rnacentral:rRNA from 1 species
AACGAACGCUGGCGGCAGGCUUAACACAUGCAAGUCGAGGGCGCGCCUUCGGGCGUGAGCGGCGGACGGGUGAGUAACGCGUGGGAACGUGCCCUUUGGUUCGGAAUAGCCCUGGGAAACUGGGAGUAAUGCCGAAUAAGCUCUACGGAGGAAAGAUUUAUCGCCAAAGGGUCGGCCCGCGUUGGAUUAGGUGGUUGGUGGGGUAAUGGCCUACCAAGCGGACGAUCCAUAGCUGGUUUGGGAGGAUGAUCAGCGACACUGGGAGUGAGACACGGACCACUGUCCUACGAGAGGGAGCAGUGGGGAAUCUUGGACAAUGGGGGCACCCAUGAUCAGGCCUUGCCGCGUGGUCGAUGAAGGCCUUAGGGUUGUAAAGAUCUUUCAGCUGGGAAGAUACUGACGGUACCAGCAGAAGAAGUCUCGGCUAACUCCGUGCCAGCCGCCGCUGUAA